AGGAUGAACGCUAGCGACAGGCCUAACACAUGCAAGUCAGGGGCAGCACAAGGAGCAAUCUGAGGUGGCGACCGGCGCACGGGUGAGUAACACGUAUGCAACCUGCCUGUAAGCGGGGAAUAACCCGUUGAAAGACGGACUAAUACCGCAUAAUACUAAAUUACUGCAUGGAAUUUAUUUAAACAUUUAUGGCUUACAGAUGGGCAUGCGCAUGAUUAGCUAGUUGGAGAGGUAACGGCUCCCCAAGGCAACGAUCAUUAGGGGCUCUGAGAGGAAGGUCCCCCCACACUGGUACUGAGACACGGACCAGACUCCUACGGGAGGCAGCAGUGAGGAAUAUUGGUCAAUGGACGAGAGUCUGAACCAGCCAAGUCGCGUGCAGGAAGAAUUGUCCUAUGGAUUGUAAACUGCUUUUGCAGGGGAAUAAAGUGCAUCACGUGUGAUGUUUUGUAUGUACUCUGCGAAUAAGGAUCGGCUAACUCCGUGCCAGCCGCCGC
rnacentral:rRNA from 1 species